rnacentral:hammerhead_ribozyme from 1 species
AUCAAACUGACGAGUCUCAAAUAAAACAAAACGCGCGUCAAACUGGAU